AGGGACAGUAUGUCAAAGUCACCUACAACAGCACUGAGCCUGGCCAAGUCUCUGUUGAGUACGGCAUUGUGCGAUCAACCUUCAGCAUUAGGAGUCUGAGUGAGGAGGAGGAUGACUGUACUGUACAGAAUGAAAAG